UUGCUCUGGUGGAUUAGUGGCGAACGGGUGAGUAACACGUGAGUAACCUGCCCUUGACUCUGGGAUAACUGCUAGAAAUGGUAGCUAAUACCGGAUACGACCCUCGGAGGCAUCUCCAGGGGGUGGAAAGAAUUUCGGUCAAGGAUGGACUCGCGGCCUAUCAGCUAGUUGGUGAGGUAAUGGCUCACCAAGGCGACGACGGGUAGCCGGCCUGAGAGGGUGACCGGCCACACUGGGACUGAGACACGGCCCAGACUCCUACGGGAGGCAGCAGUGGGGAAUAUUGCACAAUGGGCGAAAGCCUGAUGCAGCAACGCCGCGUGAGGGACGAAGGCCUUCGGGUUGUAAACCUCUUUUAGUAGGGAAGAAGCGAAAGUGACGGUACCUGCAGAAAAAGCACCGGCUAACUACGUGCCAGCAGCCGCGGUAAUACGUAGGGUGCAAGCGUUGUCCGGAAUUAUUGGGCGUAAAGAGCUCGUAGGCGGUUUGUCGCGUCUGCUGUGAAAUCUGGGGGCUCAACCCCCAGCCUGCAGUGGGUACGGGCAGACUAGAGUGCGGUAGGGGAGAUUGGAAUUCCUGGUGUAGCGGUGGAAUGCGCAGAUAUCAGGAGGAACACCAAUGGCGAAGGCAGAUCUCUGGGCCGUUACUGACGCUGAGGAGCGAAAGCAUGGGGAGCAAACAGGAUUAGAUACCCUGGUAGUCCAUGCCGUAAACGUUGGGAACUAGAUGUAGGGGCCAUUCCACGGUUUCUGUGUCGCAGCUAACGCAUUAAGUUCCCCGCCUGGGGAGUACGGCCGCAAGGCUAAAACUCAAAGGAAUUGACGGGGGCCCGCACAAGCGGCGGAGCAUGCGGAUUAAUUCGAUGCAACGCGAAGAACCUUACCAAGGCUUGACAUAUACAGGAAAAGCGUAGAAAUACGCUCCCCGCAAGGUCUGUAUACAGGUGGUGCAUGGUUGUCGUCAGCUCGUGUCGUGAGAUGUUGGGUUAAGUCCCGCAACGAGCGCAACCCUCGUCCUAUGUUGCCAGCACGUAAUGGUGGGAACUCAUGGGAGACUGCCGGGGUCAACUCGGAGGAAGGUGGGGAUGACGUCAAAUCAUCAUGCCCCUUAUGUCUUGGGCUUCACGCAUGCUACAAUGGCCGAUACAGAGGGCUGCAAUACCGUAAGGUGGAGCGAAUCCCACAAAGUCGGUCUCAGUUCGGAUUGAGGUCUGCAACUCGACCUC
rnacentral:rRNA from 1 species